UUUGGAUAUUCAGCACUCUAGACAAGGGCUGUCAGUGGCUCUUGUCCUCUGGGACAGAAGGUGUUGGCUGUUCAUCUCCUGAGAGGUGGAGAACUGCUUUAGGAGAGCGAGAGCCCCUUCUACCCCUUGCCCUUCUGAGCGUGGUGUUUUGUUGAACUCACGGUCCUUUUUACUUUUCCUCUGGUUUACAGUCUCAGAGAUGCACAACUGCACAGUUACAACUACUGCAAGGAGCACCCUUUCCAUCCCCCUCCAAUUCCUCCUUUUUGGCCUGUGGGAGAUGCACUGCUAGUUCUACAUGCCUGCCUGGUGCAUUGGACAGGACCACGGGAACCUUGGGAAAAAAGGGACUGGAAAAGUGGGAAACGGGGCUUCCCAGAGGCUGGGACCCAGGCAGCAGAGGAAGAAGCUGUGUAUUGGAUUCCAACAUAAAUGUGGAAAUCGGAGUGAUAUCAUUCUUCUGUAUCUUUUUAGAAGAAGUGACUCAGAAGAACACGGAGACACAGCCGACACUUGUAAGAAGUGGUUUUAAUAAGAGGAGGCAAGUCAUCAUCCCAGCUGUGCAAUCCUUGCUGAAGUCAAAGGGUCUGAAAAGAAAGGCCCCAUUUGUCCUGAGGAGCAGCACACACAUGUAUACCGAAGGAGGAUAGUGAUGUAUUUAGACUAGAAGUUCCCCAGACCUAGACGAGACAUUUGUUUGCUUAACUUCAUUGUUCUUCCCUUCUCUCAUCACUUGUCCUCAGCUGGCUGCAGCGAUCCCUGUGGAGCUCUGCAGCAGCAUCCACCUUAAAACCAGGGCAAAGAA
rnacentral:lncRNA from 12 species